UGAUUAGAAGCUUGCUUCUAUGACGUUAGCGGCGGACGGGUGAGUAACACGUGGGCAACCUGCCUGUAAGACUGGGAUAACUUCGGGAAACCGAAGCUAAUACCGGAUAGGAUCUUCUCCUUCAUGGGAGAUGAUUGAAAGAUGGUUUCGGCUAUCACUUACAGAUGGGCCCGCGGUGCAUUAGCUAGUUGGUGAGGUAACGGCUCACCAAGGCAACGAUGCAUAGCCGACCUGAGAGGGUGAUCGGCCACACUGGGACUGAGACACGGCCCAGACUCCUACGGGAGGCAGCAGUAGGGAAUCUUCCGCAAUGGACGAAAGUCUGACGGAGCAACGCCGCGUGAGUGAUGAAGGCUUUCGGGUCGUAAAACUCUGUUGUUAGGGAAGAACAAGUACAAGAGUAACUGCUUGUACCUUGACGGUACCUAACCAGAAAGCCACGGCUAACUACGUGCCAGCAGCCGCGGUAAUACGUAGGUGGCAAGCGUUAUCCGGAAUUAUUGGGCGUAAAGCGCGCGCAGGCGGUUUCUUAAGUCUGAUGUGAAAGCCCACGGCUCAACCGUGGAGGGUCAUUGGAAACUGGGGAACUUGAGUGCAGAAGAGAAAAGCGGAAUUCCACGUGUAGCGGUGAAAUGCGUAGAGAUGUGGAGGAACACCAGUGGCGAAGGCGGCUUUUUGGUCUGUAACUG
rnacentral:rRNA from 1 species